AGACAGGGUCUCUCUGUUCCCCAGGCUGGAGUGCAUUAGUGUGAUCUCAGCUUACUGCAACCUCCACCUCCUGGGCUCAAACAAUCCUCUAACCUUAGUCUCCAAAGUAGCUGGGCCUAUAGGCAUGCACCACCAUGUUCAGCGAAUUUUUUUAUUUUUUUGUAGAUACUGGGUUUCACCACAUUGCCCAGACUAGUCUUGAACUCCUGGACUCAAGGGAUCUGCUCACUUUGGCCUCCCAAAUUGAUGGGAUUACAGGCAUGAGCCACUGUACCCGGCCACCUUAUAAACUUUAAAAUCCAACCUAUUUCUUUAACAAGUCAUUUGAUUAAAGACAUUUUUAAAAAUUUAUGAAAAUAUUUUUUAGCUCAGGGUUUAGCAUCCAAAUGCUGGUUCGUGCUGCUAGGAAAACAUUUUCUUGUUGUGACAACCGAUAUGUGAUGUAGUUUUUCAGUAGCACUUUUUAGUAUUUUUAGGGGUGCUCAAAAUCAAAUCACGAACAGAAAUUGACAAUUGCUUUUCAGCUUUUCUCCUUUUAUGAAAAACAAUCUCUUUUUCUCAGGAAAGUUAAAGGUUUACAGAAGAGUUUGGGUUAUUAAUGUUUCCUCAUUCUACCUGGUAUAUGUUAAAACACACACACACACAUGCACAAUUUGAAAUUCUAUAAUAACAGUUAAUAUUGGAAUUUUUCAGAAUUUUCUCAGCAUUCAGCUAGAGUCUUUUCAUUUUGACCUACCAUUUCAGUAGAUCAACAGUGUUUUAAAUGCUGACAUUACAUCACUAAGUGCUGAGAUGUUUGAGAACUGUUUGCCCUCUUAGAAACCUAAUAAUAAAGUAAACUUUGAUUUUAGCUUUUACACUUCUAGCAUUUUCAUACCUUAAUAAUUUUGGUCUUCUUCAGUAAUUAAUCUUAAAAGAAAUUUUGAAGGCCUUGAAUUAAGAAACAUAUGUGCAUCCAUUACCUUACAAGACUUUUGAGGGGGCACUUCUAAAUUAUUUUUUUAUUUCUCUAAAUUAGAGGACAGAAGUAAAUUUAAGACAGGCACUGGACAUUCAGUGGAGAGUAAAUGUCAGCCAAUGCACACUAGGCCUAAACUGCAUCAACAGCUCAUUUUAAAAUGAAGAUAUGGCUAUGUUAUUUGUUAUAGGAAAAUAAGGAAUUUCUCUUGCUACUGUACCAGAAUCUUAGAGCAGGCACUGUCUAGGAUGAAUAUUUUUGUCUUCAGUUUUCCUUAUUUUUUACUGUCAGUUUCUUUUUUUUUUAACUUGUAAGUUCAAGGAUACAUGUGCAGGUUUGUUACAUAGGUAAACUUGUAUCAUGGGGGUUUGUUGUACAGAUUAUUCCAUCACCCAGGUAUUAAGCCUGGUACCCAUUAGUUAUUUUUCCUGAUCCUCUCCUUCCUGAUCUUUACCCUCCAAAAGGCCCAAGUGUGUGUUGCUCCCCUCUAUGUGUCCAUGUGUUCUCAUCAUUUAGCUCCCACUUAUAAGAGAGAAGAAACACUAUUUGGUUUACUGUCCCUGUGUUAGUUUGCUAAAGAUAAUGGCCUCCAGCUCCAUCCAUAUCCCUGCAAAGGACAUGAUCUCAUUCAUUUUAUGGCUGCAUAGUAUUCCAUGGUGUAUAUGUACCACAUUUUCUUUAUCCAGUCUAUCAUUGAUGGGCAUUUAGGCUGAUUCCAUAUCUUUGCUAUUGUGUAGUGCUGCAAUGAACAUACACAUGUGGAACAGAACAGAGAACCUGGAAAUAAGACCACACACCCAAAACUAUUUGCUCUUUGACAAACCUGACAAAAACAAGCAAUAGAGAAAGUACUUCCUGUUCAAAAAAUGGUGCUGGGAUAACUGGCUAGCCAUAUGCAGAAGAUUGAAACCCUUCCUUACACCAUAUGCAAUAAGUAAUUCAAGGUAGAUUAAAGACCUAAAUGUAAAACCUCAAACUGUAUAAAAACCCUGGGAGACAACCUAUACAAUACCUGUCAGUUUUAUCAAAUUACAGUAAUUUCCAGGCUGCAAGACUAAAAACGUUUUGAAAUUGCCAAGACCUUAUCACAAUACAAGACUAGUUUCAUAGUUUAUAUGUCACACAGAAAUGUUCUAUACUAUGAUGUUACAGCUUAGCUUCAUUCUUACCAAAUUUACUAGUACUGGUUAUUGGGGAUUCUGUGAAAUAGACAUAUAUUCGUGUAUAUGUUUCAUGGUGAAAUGUUUCAGGGUUUGGAUAUGUAAUGUUAUUUAAUGUGUUUUUCAUUAUGUGAUCAGCAUUACAUGGGGCACUUGAGACAGAAUCAGUCUCAUAGUCUAAGGACCUGGUUUUUAGCCUGUAUCCCUAGUAGGAGGUUGCAUGUACUUAGACAAGUGAUUUAAAUUGCUUGCACUGCAACUUUCUUAUCUUUGACAUAUGAGAUGUGCAAUUUUGGGCAAGUCACUAUCCUCUCUGGGCCUUCGUUUUUUGUCAUCUGUAAAAUAGGGAUAUAAUAUUACUUAUUAUAUAAUAUUUUAUUAUUUAGGGAUAUUAUUUACCCCUAAUAAAGUAGAGACAUAAUAUUACUUAUUAUAGGAUUGUUGGAAGUUAUGAGAGUUAAUGUCUCUAAACUGCAUAGAGCAAUGCCAGGCACAUAUACACUAUAAGCAUGUUACCCGCUAUUACCAUCUGUAAAAUGAGGUAGUUCUCUGGAUCAGUUCUGAAACUUCUUCUAGCUUUUAUAUCUUUAUUUAAUUGAAGGAUUAAAAAGACAAACUCAUAGUUUCAUAUUUUUGGUGGGAAAUCACAUCAAUUUGUUAGCUUGGCCCAAAUAUGAUUGUUAUGGUUCAUGUUGUUGCUUGCAGGGUCCACCAGGUGUCACAGACCUGUCCUGCACAGAGGAGGCACCUUCCCCUUGCUCUCUGACCACAAAAUGCUCCUUUUUUCAGGUUCAUGGGAAGAUUUUUAGGCAAAAAUUCCGUGGAGUCCUGCUCUCAGUACUCGACUUGACUGUCUUACAAGCCUCUUGUUGCCUCAAGCCCAAGGAAGUAACCUCAGGCUGAAAGGCUUUCUAGGGCUCUUUAACCUCAGAGUGGACACAAACUCAGAUGUCCAUCAAACAGCUAAGUCCAAGCUUUAAAUACUUUACACAGCUGAUUAGGAGUUUAGGGAACACAUAAUGCGUUUCGAAAUUUAAAAUUGGUGCAAGGUAAGAAUUAAUGAACUCUCAUCAGAAGUUUUUCUCCCAGGAGCUCUCUCCAGCCUACAGUCCACCAUAACCUGGAAAGUAUGGCUUUCCACAAGUGAACUUCUUUUAGCCUCCCUCCCAUACUGGGAUUUCAGAACCCCUUCUAAAGUCAAUGAGGUAGGAAAGAGGCAGCUGUCCCUAACACCUCCAGAAAACUGAGAUGAAGAAGAUGAGUCUCCAACUACAGCCUAGAGAUUGUUUCACAUUAUGGUAUGGAGUCAUUGACCACUUCUUCGUUUUCAGUCUGUAGGUUUCAGAAAAGAAUAUUUGCUUUAGUUUUGUGUAUUAAGAGGCUACUUGAAGUAUGUGUGUGCGUAUGUUUAAAAAAAUUACAAACUUGCAUUAAGGGAAAAUUCAAGUUCCCAUCUCCAAAUAAAAUUUGAAAACAAACAAACAAAAACAAAAUAAAAAUGUAAGGCAGC
rnacentral:lncRNA from 1 species